rnacentral:rRNA from 1 species
AAUGCUGACAUAAGUAACGAUAAAGCGGGUGAAAAGCCCGCUCGCCGGAAGACCAAGGGUUCCUGUCCAACGUUAAUCGGGGCAGGGUGAGUCGACCCCUAAGGCGAGGCCGAAAGGCGUAGUCGAUGGGAAACAGGUUAAUAUUCCUGUACUUGGUGUUACUGCGAAGGGGGGACGGAGAAGGCUAUGUUGGCCGGGCGACGGUUGUCCCGGUUUAAGCGUGUAGGCUGGUUUUCCAGGCAAAUCCGGAAAAUCAAGGCUGAGGCGUGAUGACGAGGCACUACGGUGCUGAAGCAACAAAUGCCCUGCUUCCAGGAAAAGCCUCUAAGCAUCAGGUAACAUCAAAUCGUACCCCAAACCGACACAGGUGGUCAGGUAGAGA